rnacentral:lncRNA from 1 species
AUUCAGGAGAGCAGAAACGUCACGUGUAUCUGGGCAGACGUGAAACAAACAGGAAGUCACAAACUGUCACAGGAGGAUAUUUGCUCUCAGGGUUUUGCACAUUUGAUUUUAUUGUUGUUUUUAUGACUUUUUAUUUCCUGUUUCCCCUCGCGCCUGUGGCAGAGUUUAUCCACUGAGCCCGGAGGCACGAGAGGAGCGGGUGUAAGGCCAGGGAGAACCGGCUGGAUGGUCCGGACCAGGCAGGAGCAGCGUCUGCUGCAGCCGCCGUCCUAAACGUGGAGCUGUUCCAACUCUGUUCACAUGGAAUAACUUUACUGAACCAGAGAGUCUGUGUCUGCCAUGGAAAAGGCUCAGAAACGAGCUCGUCCUCUCACAGCAAACGAGUCAGGCUGAAGCUGCUCCUGCUCCCACAAACCAUCCAGGUGCACUUGAUGAAGCCCUUAAAUACCAAGGCGUUGGAAGCCAGGCUGGAGAAAGUGACUUUGUGUCCGCUCUUUAGUCGCUGCUGCGCCUCGGACGAUCUGCAAAUGUCAGAGCAAGAGAAACAAACCUGUAGAGAAAAUAAGUUCCAUUUGCACAAUGACAGAACGCUAACAGGAAGUGACCGUUUUUCGGGGUUCGUGAAAAAGGUCUAUUUAAUGUUUUGAACAGCAUAAAACUGAUUAUACGCCCCAUAGUCUUAAGUGUUUUAGCUUAUGUUUAUCUUAACUCUGUGUUAUAUGUUUUAUGUCGCACGUUUGCACUGAGAAAAAUUCCUAGUUUGUGAACCUGUUCUCAAACCAUGGCAAUAAAACCUAUUCUGAUUCUGAUUCUGAAAUCAGACGAACAAAAAUACAUUCACACGUUGAGUGACGACACGCCCCCCUGGAGGGCAAAAGGAAAGCGCAUGCCAAAGUGCUACAAUAAUUAGCUAACAACGUUUGACAACGCAGCACAACAAAACAAUCCAGUAAUCAGUAUGGCGAACACAUGGAGCAUUAUCGGCAGCACAAACAGGCGAAGGAAAGAGUGAUAUCACCACUUCAAAACCGUGGGAGCAAAAAUAUUACGAUUGAAUUUGCUCUGUUCACUUCAUUGGAGGUAAGUAAAUGAAGAGGUAGCCUAAUUUUGUUUGUGUGAAUGUGUUUAUGUAAUUUUGUCAUGUAUUUACAUCAUACCAUUGUGCAAACCUAAUACUAAUCUGAAGCUAACAAAUUAGCAAAGACUUUGAUGCUUGUAUUUAUUGUCAAACCUUUUAAACGAUGCAUUAUAUAUCACAUAUUACAUUAUACCGGUUUAUUUCCUUUUAAUAAGUCCAUGCUGGGCAUUGGUGGAGCUUUGGGACUACAACAUGUGUAAUAGCUUUGUGAUUCUUUUCAGGUAAACCAUGUGACGAUCCUGGAAGUCCGAGCUACAGUCCCUCCAUAUUCAGCUUCACAUCACAGGCCGAACAGUCCAGACGUGUUGAAGAUCGAUAUGAACGGCUUAGAAAACGUCAAACACCUGUUGAGUCCAUAAAUGAAGAUGUGCAGCAGAUGCACUUCUGUCACCGAGGUCAAAUCUGAC